CACUCUAAUCAGCUAAGUAAGCCAUAACACCUGCAAAGGGUUUGUGAGCCUUUAAAUGGUCUCUCAGUCUGGUUCAGUAGGAAUCACAAUAAUGGGGAAGACUGCUGACCUGACAGUUGUGCAGAAAACCAUCAUUGACACCCUCCAUAAGGAGGGAAAGCCUCAAAAGGUAAUUGUGAAGAAAGUUGGAUGUUCCCAAAGUGCUGUAUCAAAGC